ensembl:lncRNA
AUGUUGCGGCCGUUCCAGUCCCUGUUCCUGUUCCUGUCGGCCAUGUUGCGGCCGUUCCAGUCCCUGUUCCUGUUCCUGUCGGCCAUGUUGCGGCCGUUCCAGUUCCUGUCUCAGUCCCUGUCGGCCAUGUUGCGGCCGUUCCAGUUCCUGUCCCAGUCCCUGUCGGCCAUGUUGCGGCCGUUCCAGUUCCUGUCACCCUCGGAGCCGCAACGCCCGCCGGCCUGCUGCAGCUCCUGCGCACCUCCAGGAGGAGGUCGCACCAGCCGCAGUUCCUGCGCACCUCCGGGAGGGGGUCGCGCCCGCCGCAGUCCCGGCGGACCUCCGGGAGGGGGUCGCGCCCGCCGCAGUCCCGGCGGACCUCCGGGAGGGGGUCGCGCCCGUCGCAGUCCUGGCGGACCUCCGGGAGGGGGUCGCGCCCGUCGCAAUUCCUGCCGCACCUGCAUCGGUUCCUGGCGGCUCGGCUCCGGCCGCACCUGCAUCGGUUCCUGGCGGCUCGGCUCCGGCCGCAUCUGCACCUGUGUCUCUUCGCGGUGGUCCAAGGUGGACGCCACUGGUUCCUGUGUCUCGUCGCGGUGGUCCAAGGUGGACGCCGCUGGUUCCUGUGUCUCGUCGCGGUGGUCCAAGGUGGACGCCGCUGGUUCCUGUGUCUCGUCGCGGUGGUCCAAGGUGGACGCCGCUGGUUCCUGUUUCUCGUCGCGGUGGUCCAAGAAAGACGCUGCUGGUUCCUGUCUCUCGUCGCGGUGGUCCAAGGUGGACGCCGCUGGUUCCUGUGUCUCGUCGCGGUGGUCCAAGGUGGACGCCGCUGGUUCCUGUUUCUCGUCGCGGUGGUCCAAGAAAGACGCUGCUGGUUCCUGUCUCUCGUCGCGGUGGUCCAAGGAGGCCAUGUUGAAGCCGUUCCUGUUUCUGUCGGCCAUGUUGAAGCCGUUCCUGUUCCUGUCGGCCAUGUUGCGGCCGUUCCUGUUCCUGUCGGCCAUGUUGCGGCCGUUCCAGUCCCUGUCGGCCAUGUUGCGGCCGUUCCAGUCCCUGUCGGCCAUGUUGCGGCCGUUCCAGUCCCUGUCGGCCAUGUUGCGGCCGUUCCAGUCCCUGUCGGCCAUGUUGCGGCCGUUCCAGUCCCUGUCGGCCAUGUUGCGGCUGUUCCAGUCCCUGUUCCUGUUCCUGUCGGCCAUGUUGCGGCCGUUCCAGUCCCUGUUCCUGUUCCUGUCGGCCAUGUUGCGGCCGUUCCAGUUCCUGUCCCAGUCCCUGUCGGCCAUGUUGCGGCCGUUCCAGUUCCUGUCCCAGUCCCUGUCGGCCAUGUUGCGGCCGUUCCAGUUCCUGUCACCCUCGGAGCCGCAACGCCCGCCGGCCUCCAGGAGGAGUCUAGUCCAGGCCCCCGUCCAGUCGAGUCUAGUCCAGGCCCCCGUCCAGUCGAGUCCUGUCCCAGUUCAGUCGAGUCCUGUCCCAGUUCAGUCGAGUCCUGUCCCAGUACAGUCGAGUCCUGUCCCAGUACAGUCGAGUCACGCGCAGGUCUUGUCCCAGUCAGAGGACACCACCUGUCGAACGGGUGCUAGGCACACCCGAUCAGGCCCGACGUCUGCUCCAUCGAGCUCGGCGGUUGCAAGCAGCCAAGCCGGCUCCGGAGUAGACGCCGUCUCAGUCGCUGCCGGCUCUAGUGAGGAGCCUGAGAGCAGCGCCGCCGGCUCCAGUGAGGAGCCUGAGAGCAGCGCCGCCGGCUCCAGUGGAGAGCCUGAGAGCAGCGCCGCCGGCUCCAGUGGGGAGCCUGAGAGCAGCGCCGCCGGCUCCAGUGGGGAGCCUGAGAGCAGCGCCGCCGGCUCCAGUGGGGAGCCUGAGAGCAGCGCCGCCGGCUCUAGUAAGGACGCCGCUCCUGUUCCUGUCGGCCAAGUAGAGGUCGUUCCUGUUCCUGUCGGCCAAGUAGAGGUCGUUCCUGUUCCUGUCGGCCAUGUUGAAGCCGUUCCUGUUCCUGUCGACCAUGUUGAAGCCGUUCCUGUUCCUGUCGGCCAUGUUGAGGCCGUUCCAGUCCCUGUACCUGUUCCUGUCGGCCAUGUUGCGGCCGUUCCAGUCCCUGUUCCUGUUCCUGUCGGCCAUGUUGCGGCCAUUCCAGUUCCUGUCCCAGUCCCUGUCGGCCAUGUUGCGGCCGUUCCAGUUCCUGUCCCAGUCCCUGUCGGCCAUGUUGCGGCCGUUCCAGUUCCUGUCACCCUCGGAGCCGCAACGCCCGCCGGCCUGCUGCAGCUCCUGCGCACCUCCAGGAGGAGGUCGCGCCAGCCGCAGUCCCGGCGGACCUCCGGGAGGGGGUCGCGCCCGUCGCAGUCCCGGCGGACCUCCGGGAGGGGGUCGCGCCCGUCGCAAUUCCUGCCGCACCUGCAUCGGUUCCUGGCGGCUCGGCUCCGGCCGCACCUGCAUCGGUUCCUGGCGGCUCGGCUCCGGCUGCAUCUGCACCUGUGUCUCUUUGCGGUGGUCCAAGGUGGAUGCCACUGGUUCCUGUGUCUCGUCGCGGUGGUCCAAGGUGGACGCCGCUGGUUCCUGUGUCUCGUCGCGGUGGUCCAAGGUGGACGCCGCUGGUUCCUGUGUCUCGUCGCGGUGGUCCAAGGUGGACGUCGCUGGUUCCUGUGUCUCGUUGCGGUGGUCCAAGGUGGACGCCGCUGGUUCCUGUUUCUCGUCGUGGUGGUCCAAGGAGGACGCUGCUGGUUCCUGUCUCUCGUCGCGGUGGUCCAAGGAGGACGCCGCUGGUUCCUGUUUCUCGUCGCGGUGGUCCAAGGAGGACGCCGCUGGUUCCUGUGUCUCGUCGCGGAGGUCCAAGGAGGACGUCUCUACGUCUGUCUUCGCCUCUGGUUCCUGCCUCGUCUCCACGUCUGUCUUCGCCUCUGGUUCCUGCCUCGUCUCCAUGUCUGUCUUCGUCUCUGGUUCCUGCCUCGUCUCUGUCUCUGCUGCCGGACUGGUGGCCUCGCCCUCGGCGCAUCCUGCUGCUUGGAUGGCGCUGCCUCCUGCGGCGCCGUCCGCCUCGACUCCUCAACCUCCUGGAUCAGCGUCCGCCAGGAGGACAUCGCCGUUCGGGGGGGUCCCCGUGGACGCUGGCCCAGCCCAAGGGCACUGGGUGUGCCCCCCUGCCUCAGCGGCGGCUGGGCAGGACCUCGCCGCGUCUCCACCCGCCUUAAGAGGGAGCAGCGAGACGUCGUUCUGUUAUCCAUGCACCCUGGACUUCUCUCAUGGACUUUGUUCUUGUUUCGUGGACAUUAA